rnacentral:rRNA from 1 species
UACGUAGGGUGCGAGCGUUGUCCGGAAUUAUUGGGCGUAAAGGGCUCGUAGGCGGUUUGUCGCGUCGGGAGUGAAAACCUUGGGCUUAACUCAGGGCUUGCUUUCGAUACGGGCAGACUAGAGGUAUGCAGGGGAGAACGGAAUUCCUGGUGUAGCGGUGAAAUGCGCAGAUAUCAGGAGGAACACCGAUGGCGAAGGCGGUUCUCUGGGCAUGUCCUGACGCUGAGGAGCGAAAGUGUGGGGAGCGAACAGG